UUUUUUUUUUUUUUUGAGACGGAGUCUCGCUCUGUCGCCCAGGCUGGAGUGCAGUGACGCAAUCUCGGCUCACUGCAAGCUCUGUCUCCCGGGUUCACACCAUUCUCCUGCCUCAGCCUCCCAAGUAGCUGGGACUACAGGCACCCGCCAUCACGCCCGGCUAAUUUUUUGUACAUUUAGUAGAGACGGGGUUUCACCGUGUUAGCCAGGAUGGUCUCAAUCUCCUGACCUCGUAAUCCACCUGCCUCAGCCUCCCAAAGUGCUGGGAUUACAGGCAUGAGCCACCGUGCCCGGCCCACGCCUAGCUAAUUUUUUUGUAUUUUUAAUAGAGACGGGGUUUCACCGUGUUAGCCAGAUGGUCUUGAUCUCCUGACCUCGUGAUCCGCCCGCCUUAGCCUCCCAAGGAAAGAAGUUACCUAAUGAUCAUUUUAAAUUACUGAAGUGUAUAGACUUAUAAGAAUGGGUUCAAGGUUAUCUCUAUAAGAAUUAAUUAAGUAGCAUUUCAGUGUACUUUCUUGAGAGGGGAAAACAGAGUUUGAGUUGCAGCCAGCAAGUUGAGAAUCCUAUGUGUGACCCUAGAUACACCUUCCUGUGUGUCAAUAGCAGGAAGAAGGUAUUUUAGAGUCACGGAGGUAGAGAAAAUAGCAUGGACUUUCUCAGCCAGGUACACUUAGGUUCAAAUUCAUCUCUGGCAUUUAGAAUUUGAGUGACCUGGAGGAGUAAACUCACUUCAUGUCUCCAAAUCACAUUGUUCUCAUCUCUGAAAUGAACUGCUUUACUGAGUAGUUGUGAGCAUUUAGCUCUAUAGCUGCACAUAAUAGAAACUUUUUAUUUUAAAAAAGGUCAUUAGUUAUCUAAAAGGUAAUACUCUCUGGAAGGGGUGGUUAUGAAAAUACAUUGCUGCAUCGGGGUGUCCAGUCUGGAGAGGUAUAAGUGUUCAGAAUACUUGAGGUUUCUUAUAUUUUGAAUUAAUAGCUAUGGGAAAUGCCUCUCUUAGCUUGUAAAUGCUCUGGAACUUUUCUUCAUAGUAUCUCAUUCUUGAGUAGUCAUGUUGGGGGUAGUUUUUACUUAUAAAAGUAAUACAUGCCUGCACUCCAGCCUGGGCGACAGAGCGAGACUCCGUCUCAAAAAAAAUAAAUAAAUAAAGGUAAUACGUGCUUCAUGGUUAACAAUUCAAACUAUGCAGACAACUAUCAAAUAAGUAAAAGUCCCUUAUGUUUCCAUUCAUACCGUGAAACUGGUUUUCCGUUUGUUUUGAUUUUGAUUGGUUUGUUAUCUGGUGGGUUGAUUAGUUUGAGUUUUGGUUUUCAAAUUCAAACUGCCUUCAUUUUUUUUUUCAAUGAUUGCUUGCAUCAUCCAAAAGGAAAAAUUCCUAUGACCAGUGACCAUCCUACUGACAGAGAUUGCUUCGCAACUAAACUAAGCUUCUGUGAUUUGAAACAGCUUAAAAGCUCUAACUAGAAAGCUCACCAACUCAAUAUAAAACCAGGUUUUAAUUGACUUGGGUUAUGAAAGGCUCUAAUAAUAGAGUCUGCCACUUUAAGAAAAUGCCAUAGCCCACUGGCAUAUGCAGAAGCUCCUUGUGCAAGGGAGGCGUGCCUACAGCUGAUGUCAUAGCCCAGCCUUCUAAUGCCAUUUGCAUAAAGAGUAUUCGAUUGCAUGAUUAUAUAAAGUGAGGUUUACUGGUAUUUUCUUGUUUAGUUCUUGAAAGUCUAAUUAUAGGCCUAAGGGAAUAAAUCUACCACUUGAAGAGGAUUGUUGUGGCUACUGUCAGAUUCCAGGGAGAAGACAGAUUAAAAGCAAAAAUUUGAAUUUCAAAGAAAAUACUUUAAUGCACCAACACAAUGAAGUGAACUUUAUGUCAAAAUAUAGAGGUUUGCCUUUCUUGUAUUCUAAACUGGUUCUUCAUUAAAAUAACUUUAUCUAAAGAAAAACGAAUGCCAGCCACAGUGGUUCAUGCCUGUAAUCCCAGCACUUUAGGAGGCCAGGCGGGUGGAUCACCUGAGGUCAGGAGUUUGAGAUCAGCCUGAUCAACAUGGUGAAACCCCGUCUCUACUAAAUAUACAAAAAAUUUAGCCAGGCAUGGUGGCACAUGUCUGUAAUCCCAGCUACUCAGGAAGCUGAGGCAGGAGAAUUACUUGAACCUGGGAGGCGAAGGUUGCAGUGAGCCAAGAUUGCACCAUUGCACUCUAGCCUGGGCAACAAGAGCGAAGAUCCGUCUCAAAAAAUAAAGAAAAAUGAAGGCUCACUGUCAAACAUUUUCACUUAAAGCGUUGAAAUUAGUGCCUAGUUAACCUGUAUCCAGAGCUGAUUUUUAGCUACAGAAAGCACUAUGAUUGUGCCAGUGACCGUGUGGAAAUACUUCUACCCAGAUGGGAAUAAGAUCACAGGCCUGACCCCAGUGGGUACUCCCUCAGCCACCCUGUCCCCUAUUUCACCCCUUCGAAAUCCAGCAACUGAAGGGGUGACACUUGGCAGAGCAGGACGCUAGCUGGAUUGUGCACCAGCACAGGGUGCAGGAUCUACUCUGAUUGGCCUGCGCCCUGCUGAUAGUGAAAUACCGUGUUUUGAAUGUUCAUCUCUAUGCAUGUUAACUUAGCUAAAGGCACCUCAGUGGAUAAUCCAAAAACCCACAUUUGGCUUUUUUGUUGUUGUUUCUUUUUUUUUUUUUUUUUUUUUUUUUUUGAGACAGAGCCUUACUCUGUCGCCCAUUCUGGAGUGCAGUGGCGCAGUCUUGACUCACUGCAACCUCCACCUCCUGGGUUCAAGCAACUCUGCCACCUCAGCUUCCCAAGUAGCUGGAAUUACAGGCGUCUGCCACCACACCCGGCUAUUUUUUUUGUAUUUUUAGUAGAUACGGGGUUUCACUAUGCUGGCUAGGCUGGUCUCAAACUCCUGACUUCGGGUGAUCCGCCCACCUUGGCCUCCCAAAGUGCUGGGAUUGCAAGCAUGGGCCAUCGUGGCUGGCCUUUUUUUUUUUUUUUUUUUUUAAUCACAGGUAUGUGACAUAUGAAUUAAGUGGUCAAAUGUAAAACUAAUGGGGACACCAAGCCUCAGGAAGAACAUCCCAUGUUUCUGUUUAACUCUCUUAUGUGUUAUACUACCUUCCCUUUCUCUUUCUUAUACACAUAGAUUUUCCUUAAUUGCAGCCCAAGAGGACACUGCCCCAUUUUGUUUUGUUCUUUUGUCAUUGGGACUUGCAGACCCCAAUUUGAAUACCAUUUUUGGGAACUGUGGCAUAUGAAGGUAGAUCCUUAGGAAUCCAAUGUACAAAAACACCUACAACUAGAUAUUCUUUCAGUACUGAUCACCUAGGUGCCAGGUACUGGGGAUGCAACCCUGAGCAUGAUAGAAGGGCCCUGCCUCAUGCAGUGUAUAGUCUGCGAGGGCAGGCGUGGGGCACCAAGGAAGAGCCCAGCAGGUGUAUCCUACUCUACACAGGGUGGUCAUCACAUUCCUCUUAGGAGGCCAGGUAACCUGAGCUCUAUAGGCAUUAGGAAAGCAAGGACAGAGGCCUUGAGGCAGGAAAGAGGGCCCAAGUGCCAGAGUGAAGGGAACACUCCAGGGGACCAGAUGGCAUGGGAUGAGGUUUGGAGCAGAGCAGGAGCCAAAUGCGGCAAGGCUUUGUCAGUUAUGGCGAGGCUUUUGGACUCUAUUUUAAAUGUGAUGGGAAGAGCGGCAAAUGUCCUGAGCAAGGGAGCAGCGUGGUCAGAUUUACAUUCUGUGAAGAGCACUCUCCCUGCUGUGCGAGGAUCAUUUGGAAGGUGGCGAGUGUGUGCGGUGGGAGACAGAUGAGGAGUAAUCUGUAAUAACAGUAAUCCAAGUGGAAGAUGUUGGAGAAUUGGACCUGCUGAUGGCUUCUGUGUAUGGGAUGAAAGAAAAAGGAAUCAAAGAUGCCUCUCAGGUCUCUGGCUUAAUCAGCUGGUAAGGCUAUAUACCGAGAUGAUAGAGAACAUGGGAGAAGGAACAGAUUUGGGAGGAAUGUGCUAGGAAAUUAAGAACUCAGUUUUGGAUAUAAGUUUGGAAUGCCCAUUAGCCAAGUGGCAGUGUCAGGUGCAUUGUAUUUGAAACACAGAUGUCCAGAGGCAUAUAUGAUUCUGAGAGGGAGGUUAGGCUGGAGAUAAUGAAUUCCAGAGUUGCCAACAUGUAGAAAGUAUUUAAAGCUUUAGGAUUGAGUGUGAUCACUUGGGAAAGGAUUAUAGAUAGAAAACUGAGGGCCCAAGACCAAGCCCUGCCCCUACGUUCAGAGGUUGAGUAGAGGAAUAGGAGGCAAGAAAGGAGAGAAGAAGCAGGGGAAGGGUGUUUCUGGGGGAGCACUCAGUUAAAUGACCCCAAGAGGAGGGCAAGCGAGAUGAGAGAAAACUCUCGGUAACCUGAGGGCAUAGUGGGGACCUGAGAACAUUUGCAAAUGACUGGGGAGGAUGCAUGCCAGAUUAGUGGGUUAAAGAAGGCAUGGAAGAUGGGAAGGUAGAAACAGCAUGUAUAGACCUCUCUUUUCAAAAGUUUUGUUGUGAAAGGCAACUGAGAGAUGGAUUAAUUGCUGGAGGCGGAAGUGAUCACUGGAAGGGAAUCUUAAAUUUUCAUUUAUUUGUUCAUUCAUUUGUUUAAGAAAGAAGUUGUAAAAAGAACAUUAGCACUAAUAAUUUUUAUCCCACUUUGCCAGGAUUAGACUCUCAAACAAAAAGGAAAAACAAAAGCUAUUCCCAGCCACGGGAGUGGAGAAAGCCCAGGUCAGCAGGGUUUCCUCCUCAGUCAGGACGUUGAGUGACUGGGAGACAGGUUUUCCAUCAGCACAUGGAAACCCUUGGAGGUUGGACCUGGGUGGUGUCACUUAGAUGUCUUCUGACCUAGAUCGGAGGGUUUCCCAAACUCUCGAUUGCCUCUUGCAAGCAGAUGACCUGGGAGCAAAUGUUAUGGCAGAACGAUGGACUCCUAGCAAGGGCCGAAGCGUGCCCUGUGAAGACUGGAAAGAAUAUAUGCUUGUCAGAGAUUUGGUAACCUCAUCAAGACCUUAAACUGCAAUUUAAGAGGGUGGAAAAAUUACUCAAGUGAAACUAUAAGCCCUGUUAUUCGUAAGAAAACGUGUGACACAGAGCAAUUGGAGAAUCUCUUAAUUUGCAUGCAAAAAUAACAGGAGGAAAAAGUAAGGAAUGUUAUAUCUGAUUUCAAGUGUGAAUAUGAAGCAAAGGAACUUGAGAUGUUAACACCUGAAAGAAAUCAAGAUUUCCUAGAUACCCCUGAAACACAGGGCUCAGGACUAGAAUAUGGAAGCCCUGAGAGAACAGAUAGCAGAGGAGUAGUAUAUGUCCAAAAUGUCUGAAAGUGCACAGAAAGCCAGAAGCCUGCACGAAGAGGUGGGAUGGAGAAUAUUUGUGUGGAGAUGAAAGGAGAGAGACUCAAGUGAUUCCACCAUGGGAGCAGUUUAAAACCAGGGACCACAAGCCACUACCAUCCAUAGGCCAUGUUUCCUAGCCCCAGUUUCAAACUGCGAGAGGCAAGAUGUAGUAAAAAUGUUUUUCAGCUCUCUAGGCCUUUACUAGAAUGUUUAUUCUGCUCAGUGCAUUCGGUAAAUUAUUGACUUGACAAUUUCAUAGCUAAGAAAAUGAAUGAAAAAAAAUGAGGCUCUACUAUCUAAUUCUCACCAAGAAGGAAAAUUAUAUCAUUGUUGAGUUUACAAUUACAUGUAAAAGAGGUAUUGUGACUAGUAAAAAAGUGGUGUGAAAACUCAAAAAAGAGCAAAAGCUAUACCCAGGUUCUAGCAGGGAGACCCUGGGUAAUCAGGCAACUCACUCCAAGGUAGAAUGGAGUCAGGCACUGGGGUCCAGGAGACUUAACUUUAAUGAGAUAGAUAGUGAACAGUUCAGAAAAUUAUAGGUAUGAUUCUAUGGCCAGAAACCAGAAGGGAAUAUGGUGCAAGAGGAAUGGAGCCCUAAAAAACAGUUCUGUCACACGAUCACAUAUAAUUGUCAUGAGAAAGAAAUAGCUCAGGUACCUAGCAAGGCCUGGGAUUGCAUUGAGUUCUCCAACAGACAAGAGGCACUCGCAGGGUACCUGAACAGCACCAGCUGCUGGGAAUUGGCUGGAAGGCCAACUCCUGAAAAGCUGAGGCUUUCAAAUGAGUACUGGUCAAGAUAAAGAGAAGUUAUGUUUGGAGAUCACAAAUUUAAAAAGGAGUAAUGUAAAGAUGACAGCUGACAAGAAAUGAACAAAACACUGCAUUUGUGAGGGAUUGGUAAAGAAAGACCUCAGAAAUGCUGGGAACCUCAGAAAACACAGCUUUGUCAGCAUCUGUUUUUCUGACCCAGGAUAAGAUCUUCCUUUUAGAUCUGCUGGUCAAGGGACAGAGCUGAACUCUAAGCCAGCCCUGGUCUGUGAGGUUCUUGCCCAUUCAUGCCUAAGACUGAAAAGCUUUACUUUGAAUAUACUAAAUCUUGCUCAAGGUGUAGUCCCCCAUGCUUCUCAAGGCUGUGUGUCCCAUUGGGUAAGGCUGUGGUCUUCAGAGUGGGACAGCAGCAUUAGAACUGCUUGGCCUGCCUGCCUGUUACAAAUGCAGGUGCUGGUACCCCUCCCAUUACCUCCAUUCCCAAGCAAUUUAGAACCUUAAGGAGGACAGCAAGGGAGCUUCAGAAAUCAGCGUUUUCAAUACAUUCCUCAAGUGAUGCUAUCCAAAAUUAGACUUUCAGAACCACUGAGCUAAGUCAGCCAACACCUCUUGUUGCUCAGAGCUUCCAUGAGUAUAUGGGCUUACAGCCUGAAAAUCCCUUUUUAUCAAAGCUUUGCUGCAUCCUAACUCAUGGAACAACAGACAAGAUUUCCUAUGGAAAUCAGGCCUUUAAAAAAAGAAAUGUUAUACUCUUCUAAUGGUUAGAUUUGCAGUAAUUCUCAACUCUGCAUGUUAGAAUCUCCUGGAGAACUUUUAAAAACACCAUGUCCAUGCCCCACCCCAGACCAAUUAAAUCAGGAACUCUGGAGUGGGGAUCAGGCAUGAUUGUUUGCUUGUUUGUUUUUGUCUUGUUUUAAGCUUUCCAGGUGGUUCUGAUGUGUGGCCAGGGUUGAGAACUACUGCUGUUUAAACUUUAGAAAAGCGUAACACUUUUAAAAGGUUCUAUUCCAUGUGAUACCUCUUAUCCUUUCACAUCAACAAAUAACCCCUACUUUCCAUUUCUUCUUCAUGAAAGAUAGUGUUCUCAUUUCUCAAAAUUAGAAGGGAUGAAACAAACAUGGUUAAAAGAGAACACAAUAUAGUAGCUAUACAAAAUAUAUCUCUAGGCCCUAAAAAUUUGUUUUUGGGGCACUGAAAAGAUAUGCAGAUAAAAUUGCGUAGCCAUAAGUUCUUCAAGCUUAUGAUAAAGGAGAGUGGCCAAAAGACAGGAAUUGAGGAAAUGUCAACCCAGUUGUCCAAAAGGUGACUCAUGGACAAUAAAUACCAGCUGAUAAAAUCGAAGCUGUUUCCUGGGAAAAAAUUAUAGAAUGCUUAAUUAAAAAGAUAAUUUGUGAGACUUUAAAAAGGAAUCAGGAAAAGUAGACUAUUCCUGUUUGGGUACAUUGAGGGGUGCUGGCAAUGGAGUUUAACCCUACAUCUGACAAAAUCACUCCGAAAUCCUCACAUUAUAUGAUGGAUAUGGUGGAGAAAUGUAGUCUGGGUUGUUAUUACUCUGUUUAGGUGAAUAUACAGCUGCUUGAGCAACCACAUUCAAACCUCAUCGAUAGUGGAGUGAUGUUUAACCUGGAGAGAGAUCUCUUGUUCUCUUUCUUGUUCUGAUAUUCUUUGAAACCUAUAGUUGUGAACCUCUUUAUUCUGGAAGUGAAUUUUAAUGUAAAGAAUUUUGUCCAAAGUAAUGUUAUACUCCAGCUCAGGAAUAUACAUAUACAUACACACAGGGGACUUCAAAAAGUUUGUAGAAAAAUUGAAAUAAAAGAUAAAAAUAUGAAAUAAAAAUUUCUCAACAUAAGCUCCAUCAAGUUCAAGACACUCUUGUGAGCAAUGAUACUAGCCAUCAUUUAGUCCAUCCCUGAAGAACUGAGGGACCUGGGAAUUUAACCAUGUCAGUGCAACCAUUUCUUUCUUUUUCUUUUUUCUUUUUUUCUUUUUUUUUUUUUUUUUGCAUUAUUGCUGAAGAAAAAUGGGUGCCCUGUAAAGAUUUGUUAAGAUAAGAAAUAAAAAGAAGUCACAAGGUGCCAAAUCAGGACUGUAAGGUGGAUGCCUAACAUGAAAACUCUCAUAAAAUUGCUCUUGUUUGAUGAGAGGAAUGAACAGGAGCAUUGUCAUGGUGGAGGAGGAUUCUCAGGUGAAGGUUUCCUGGGUGUUUUUCUGCUAAGUCUUUGGUUAAUGUUUUCAAAACACUCUCAUAAUAAGCAGAUGUUAUCAUUCGUUGGCCCUACGGAAAAUCAACAAGCAAAAUGCCUUGACCAUCCCAAAAAACUGUUGCCAUGACCUUAGCUCUUGACUAGUAUACUUUUGCUUUGACUGGAGCACUUACACCUCUUGGUAGCCAUUGCUUUGAUUGUGCUUUGUCUUCAGGAUUGUACUGGUAAAGCCAUAUUUCAUCUCUUGUUACUUCAAAGAAAUGCUUCAGGAUCUUGAUGUUACUUGUUUCCAAUUUUCAUUGAAAGCUCUGUUUUUGUCUGCAGAUGAUCUAGAAGCAAUGGUUUUGGCAUACAUUGUGGGAAAGUUUGCUCAACUUUGAUUUUUUCAGUCAGAAUUGUGUAAGCUGAAUCAAUUGAGUUGUCUGUGAUGUUGACUAUUGUUUCUGCUGUUAAUUAUCAGUCCUCUUUAACUAGGGCAUGAAAAAGAUGAAUUUUUUCCUCACAAAUUGAUGUGAAUGGCUUGCCACUAUGGGCUUCAUCUUCAACAUCAUCUCAUCCCUUCUUAAAACGAGUUACCCAUUUGUAAAUUGCUGAUUUCUUUGGGACAUUAUACUCCUAAAGUUUUCAUAAAGCAUCAGUGGUUUCACCAUUCUUUCACUCAAGUGUCACCGUAAACUUGACACAUUUGUUCUUGCUUCAAUUUUAGCAAAAUUCAUGUUCCUCUCAUAGGGGCUGUUUUCAAGCUGAUGUCUUACCCUUCUGGGAGCCUCACACUAGAUUCUAUUCAGACAUGUUAUAACAAGUUAGUAUGAGUUUAUCUGGCAAAAAAAAAAAAAAAAAAAUUGAAAUACAUGCAUAGUUUUCUCAUAAUAUGUAUUUUCCAUGAACUUUUGAAAACUUCUUGAGAUACACACACAAGCCCAACAUAGAUUCUUCCACAUUACUCUUUUCUAAAGCCUCUUUAUCCCCAUAAUUCCAUAAAAUAAUAUAUAACAGACUUGGCUUUGGCUUAUUGGACUCUUAGUCCAACUUAGUUGUUUUUCGGCUUCAACUUUGAUGACUCAUUUGUGCUCACUUCUGAUUCAGACAAUGGAAAACUAUUUUAGCAAGAGCUGAACUGAUUUUUAUUCCCCUGUUGAUGUCCAAAGCUCAGCCCACCGUCAUGCACUGUGCAUUCACAUUCUCUGUUUCUGCAAGCUUUGCUGGCCAAGUUCACCAACGAACGUUGAAUUGACCAAACAUGUACUAAGUGCAUUCUGCAGACAUAACGGAAGACUAAAUUUUGGAGAUCUUUGCUUCCCAAAGAAUCCCCUGAAAAAAAAAAUUUUUUUUUUUUACUUCUACUAAGUAGCCCAGUUUUCCAAUCACAUGAAUUUUCUGGAAUAUUUUUGGAGAGAAGCAGAUUUAUUGAAGAGCUGUUCUUUUUUACCCCAGAUAUAGACAAAGUUAAAUUUAUUCUCUGAAUAUAAAUCAUCAGAGUAAGAAGGUAACAUUUAGUCAAGAAGAUAAAUUUGUUGGACUAUGGGUUCAUCUGUGUGCAACAGAGACCUAAAGUUUCAAUGGCUUAAGCAGUAUUGAGGUUCAUUUAUCUUCCAUGACAGCGUGAGAGUUUGCAGCCAAAGACUAGUAUGGCGGGUCCAUGGUGUCAAGGACUGCCAGGUAUCUCCCAUCUUAUUGCUUCAUUAUCUCUGGGGGAUGGCCCUCAUCUGCAUGGUCCAGGCAGGAAAGAGGAGGAUAGGAAUAACCCCACCCCAGAGGCUGCACCCAGCACUUCCCCUUACAUACACACACACACACACACAUCCCAGCUGCAAGGAAGGCUGGGAAAUGUCUUUAUUUUGUACAAUCAGUAAAAACUGAGAUUCUAUCAAUAGAGAAGGAGGGCAAACAUUGGAGAAAAACUAGUAGACUUUCCAACAUAUUCCUGAAAAAAUUUAAAUUGCAGAAGGGGCUAUAGGUGGGCCAGGCAGGGAAGAAUCAUUAUCUCACCCAAAGAAUGACAUCGGGCUUCAAGUAUCUAAGCCACCAUCAAAAAGGCUGGUGCUCUUCCAGGUUUUUCUUUAAAGGGCAUCUGUCAGGCUGGGGAGAACACUUCUCUAGGUGGCCUUGAGCCAGUAUUAUUGGCCCACUCAAUCAGAGCUGCCCUGCAGCCUCGUUAGCACAUCACAAGAACCCAGAGUGGAAUUCUGGGAUGGAAGAGCUGGACAGAAAGUGGAGAGAGAAGGUCCUCCCAGCGGCAAAGCUAAUUAAAAGGAGAAACCUGUUUUCCACAUGCACUCCUCAAUAUGCACACAUGCUGCUUUCUUGUCAUUACAUGCCUCACUUGUCACCAAAGCAUUUUCAAUCAAUUCCUGGGUGUUGUUCUUGUAUCUUUAGAUUUAGCACAUUCUUUCUUUAGUGCUCCUCCCUUUUAUUCAUCCAGCUGCUUAGAACAGUUUUCUUCAGCAUUUAAACAAACCCACAUACAUUCCCCUCCCCCCAUUUUCUUUUUUAAACAAAGCAAAUGCUGCUUUCUUUUAACCGAAAUAAAAGAGCCAUAGACAAUUCCAUCUUUUAGGUCCACAUGGCAGAUCUCAAGUCAAGCAUUCGUUUUCUACCUGUGUGGAACUUUAAUUAGUUUAAGUGGGAGGUCUGUGCCAAGAAACAGGCACCACAUCACAGUUGGAAUCUGCAGAGCAGAUUUUUUUCUCUUAAUAAUGUUCUUUCAAACUCAAUCCCGCUUGCAGUUUUGAUACCAAAAACAUGUGUGUUGAACAGCUACGAGUCGUUUCCGGGUCAUUCGCAUUAACCAUGAGCUCUCCUGACAGUCUUGACCCAUAACAGCAGACCUCUGUGUUUGAAGUGCUGUAUGAUUUACAAAGGACUGCACACACAUUGUCGCAUGUCAGCUGCACACUUAGCCUGCUAGGAAAUAAUAUCGCCCCCAUUUUGGUGAUGAAAAAAUUGAGUCGUGGAAUGGUUAAGUGACAGAAUGAACUGAAACUGGAUCCAGUCUGUCUGUGUUGCUAAUGUAAGAUGUUAAAGAACUGUCUACGGUUAAAAGAGAAUGAGUAUCUAUUUUUAACAAUGUGCUAAAUGUUCUUUUCUUCUUUCCAUGGUCCAAGAUUGUCCUAAACUUUGAUUUGAUAUAAUUAUUUUCCACAAUCCUCUGUCAGGCUUUGAAAUUCUUCUCUGCCUCUGGGUCUUAGUUUGCUUUGAGGUAAGGAUGGCCAGUGUGGAUCUUUCUUAUAUAAUCUCUAGGUCUUAUAUUUUAGUUUCCUACCUGAAAAUUUGUGAUGCCACUUUGAAUCUACGACGGUAAAGGAAAACAAUUUCUCUUACAUGCUAUUUAAGAGUUAGGUAUUUAAGAUUAAAGGAACUAUGUAUAAAUAUCACUUAUCCAGAAGUCUUCUGAAUAUUUCAUUUCUCAUGGAAAUGCUGGAUGUUUUUAAGCAACAUUAUCCAUUAUAAAACAAUUCGAAAAGGGGGAAGAAAAUCCUACAAAGAUAACAAAAACUGUGAGUUUUUUUUUUGUAUGAAGUAGCCAAUUUUCACAAAAAGUGCUGUUAGCAGUUUAUAACACUGCUAGAAAAUGUAUUUUAUAUUAAAAAUCGCUAACAGCACAGUCAUUGUUUUAAAGAUGCUUUAGAAUGGGAAGAAAUGUUCAAUCUUUUUAACAUGUAUCGGCAUGUAUAGGGUGUACUCUUUUAAAGAAAAAUUUCAAGUAUUAUAAAUUCUAAGAAACUUUAAAACUGUGUCAUUUAUAAUGUAAAAUUAAUGCAGCUGAGAUUCAGUGGUUGACUCAUAGCUCCCACAUUCAUCUUCAGUUCUCUUUAGCUCAUAUGGUUUUCUUUAAAAAUUAGUGAUAUCAGCUAAAUGGAACUAUUUUCCACUCCUACCCACAGAGAAAAGUGCUUUUGUGAACAUGUCAGCUCUGUUCCAUCAUUACAUGCCAUCAUGCAGUGCAACAGAAGCAGGCUGGCUGUGCAUACUUGAUAACCAAUAUUAGUACAGAUUUGAGAGCAAAAUCCAAAGAAGAUAAUACUGUAUUUCCAUCUAUUUAUUUUAUGCACAUAAGCCACCUUUUUAGAACCAAGGAAUUUUAUAGCUAGACAAGAUCUUGGAAGUCUUCCAAUCUAGCCUCUUUAUUUUGUACAUAUGGAAACUGAGGCACAAAGAGGUUCAGCAACUUCCCCAAGGUCACAUAGCUGGUAGAGGUAGGCUGGGACUAGAACCCAGGUCUGUGUGACUCCAAAGUCUGUGCUCCUCCCGCUAUACUGCUUCACAGAUAGGAGCUGAUCUGCCUCAAAUCUUCUGCCUCUUGGCCUUUCCACAACUCUGCAUUGCUGCCAUCUAACAGUGCCUUCCACUGGUGCCAUGCUAAAGCUCCUUAGGAGGCAACUUAACAUUGUUCUGUAAAAGCUCUACAGAUGUAGGACGCUAGCUAUCUGUUCUCCCCGGAAAUCUUUUCAAUUCAAUUCUGCAAAUAACUUAGGCUUUCCCAGACUAAGGAGUUCCUUCUCUCAUUCCUGCAAUUUGCUUUCCAGUUACCUUCUUCUGGACACAUUCAUUUCCAGUGCCCCUUCUGUUAAAAUGGCCCCCACUAGAAUCUCUGUUGCUGGGCACGGUGGCUCACGCCUGCAAUCCCGGCACUUUGGGAGGCUGAGGCGGGUGGAUCACCUGAGGUGGGGAGUUCAAGACCAGCCUGACCAACAUGAAGAAACCCCAUCUCUACUAAAAAUACAAAAUUAGGCAGACAUGGUGGCACGUGCUUGUAAUCCCACCUACUUGGGAGGCUAAGGCAGGAGAAUCGCUUGAACCCGGGAAGCUGAGGUUGUGGUGAGCCAAGAUCGCUUCAUUGCACUCUAGCCUGGACAACAAGAGCGAAACUCCGUCUCAAAAAGAAAAAAAAAAUUGGCCCCACUCAAAAUGGUACUCCUCCAAGUUGCUUUUCAUCCUUGUAUUCCCCAUGGCCAUUCAUCCCACUGCUGUCCUUCUGUCUCCAAGUCCUCUUUGCCUUGCUUCCUUCCCUCUCAACCCACAGCAUCAGAGCAGUUUCUCCCCCAGCUGACCCUCUUUCCACUUUCAGUGCUCAAUAUUUUUUACCUUGCCUGUGGAAAUGGUCUCUUAACUGGUUUCCUUAAGUCCCUCCAGAAAUGUUUUUCUAAACUCCAACAACUGUGCAAGGUCUAAUUGCCAUUGGUUUAUCACCCACUGGACCCAGAAGCACCAUCCUGGAUUCUGCUUCUGCAUACCCCUGUCAGCUCUGUGUCUUUAGGGACAUCAUUUAAACCUUCAGCUUCACUUUCUCCACUUAUAAAAUGAAGAUGAGGAACAAGAACAUCAAUCUUUGAAAUGAUGCCAAGUCCAAGCCUCUGUGUGUGUGUCUCCCCACUCCAAUUUGUCCAACAGACUGCUUCCAAAGAAAUCUUCCUAAAACACUGACCUUUUUUUUUUUUUUUUUUUUGGCUGCAAAAUCUUUCAUUUCCUCAUCCCCUCACAUAACUUCCAAUCUUCUUGGCCUGGCACUAAGGACCUACUACAGACUGGCACUGAAAUAUCUUCCCUACCUUAUCAUUCCUUGUGCUUCUCCACAAGCCCACUCUUCCCCUUCAUCAUACAUGUGCCGACCUUUCCUGUCUCUUUUACUUUGCAGCACCAAAUGUUUUCUACUUUGUGGUCUAGGAGGAACACAUGUCACUUUCGUAAGCUGCUCGAAAGCAGGGGCCACACCUUCAUCCUUGUUUUCCACACAACACCAAGCACUUAGUAGACACCCAGUAAAUCAUUGCUGAAUGAAUGUAUUCAGCCUGGAAUUGCACUAGGAUUUUUUGGCCAACACAUUGUAUUCUUAACUGAUACCGGACUUCCAAUCAAACAAAAUCAUUAAGCCUUUUUCAUAGUCUUUAAUUAAACUACUUCUCUUCCAUUAUUUCCCUUUGCCUACUUUUGAACUGAUAUUCAGAACUUUUCUGUUAAUGUUUAAUUUUCAUCCAUUAUUCUUGUCUGUACAGAUCUUUUUGAUUUUUGACUCUCUUAUCUAGUUUUUUUUUUUUUUUUUUUUUGGCUUCCCGUUGUGUUAUCCACAGGCACAAUGGGUAUAUUGACUAUCGUUCAUUGAAGUUGUUGAUACAAAUGUUGAACAGGAGAAAAACCAGUAGCUUGCCAACUUGGCACCUCAUUCUCUAGCUUGACAGUAAUCUCUUAUCUAGUAGUUUUUAGAUAUGGUUAUUUAAUCAAAUAUCACUAGCUUCUAAUUUUGUUAUAAUUCAUUCAUGUAUACAGACAAUGAAGAAUAUCUUCUCUUCAUUCAACACAUUUAUUGGGAACCAAUCAUUGUCCAAGGCAAUAUGCUAGGCAUUGUUGUAAUAGAAAGCAAUUGAGAUUUUACCCCUGUCCUCUUUGGCCUGCAAAGAGCAGGUAAGAUUCAUGCACAGACAAAUGUAGUACCAGGUAAAUAGUGAGGCCAAACACAAGAGGCAGGUCAAAGGGCUUUGGAUUCAGAGGAUGGAGAAGCUCUUUCUAGGCUGGUGAAAUAUUUGCAGAAUGAGUAGGCUCAUAAGUGGAGGUGAGGUACAGGCUAAGCUGCUGUAAGAAAGAGUCCAAAAUGCAAAGGAUUUACCACAAUGCAGUUAAUUUUUCUCACAACGGUCGAGGUAGGCAGGUGGUCCAAGUCCAGUUAAUCAGUCCUCCUCAACACAAGGCUUCCACUUGUAAGCUCAGGAUGACCGCUCCAGUUCUCAUCAUCUCCCAGGCAGAAAAACGGGAGAAAGAACUAGACGUACCACCCAGUCAUUUUAAGGACAUAGCCAGGCCAGGUGCAGUGACUCACAUCUGUAAUCCAAGCACUGUGGGAGGUCGAGGCUGGAGGAUAGCUUGAAGCCAGGAGUUUGAGACCAGCUAGGAUAAGAAAGCAAGACCCUGUCUCUACAAAAAAUUUAAAAAUUAACCAUGUGUGGUGGUGUGCACCUAUAGUCCCAGCUACUCAGGAGGCUGAGGUGGGAGGAUCACUUGAGCACAGGAGUUGGAGGAUACAGUGAGCCAUGAUCACACCACCUCACUCCAGCCUGGGUAACAUAGUGAGACCCCAUGUCUUUAAAAAACAAAACAAAAAAACAUCGCCAGGAAGUUGCUUACAUGUCUUCUAUUCCUAUAACAUCGGCCUGAGCUUAGUCACAUGGCCACACCCAGCAGAAAGAACGUCUAGGAAAUGUGGUCUUAGGCUAGGUAACCCCAAACCCAGCUAAAACUGUUGCUUUUGAAGAAGGGUGAAACAGACAAUGUGGAAGAGAAUUACCAGUCUGCCACAAAGAGAAAGAAUUCUAUGUGAGGAAAACGCUCUAGAAGAGGGAGCUGAUUAAUUAAUUAUAUCUCAGCCGAGAGGAUGUUAUGAGAAACACAGAUUUGGGUUUAAUAGAAAAACUUAGAACCCUUCAAGAAGGAAUGGGCGGACUUGAGAGUGUCCUCCGCUUCUGAAAAUGAUCAAGAAAAAUGGUAAGAAUGUACACCUCAAGGGUGGACGGUAAAAGUCAGCCUUUAAGCCUCAAUGGCGGUGUGGUUGUAGGUGGGGUGGGGGUGGAGGCCCCGAAGACAGGCAGACUACCACAGUAGCCCCGAUGGAAGCAGUGAGAAUGAACUGGAAGGAGCGGCUGUGGGAGCGACAACGUGAUGAGAAUAAACCCGGCUUGGCUCUGCCCUGUGCACACACAGGUGAGCUGUGUGCUCCCGGAUGUGUCAGCUGGUAUAUGCGUCUCUCAGAAGGCAGCUGGGGAGCACUGGUAGCUCAGAGACUGAGAGGCAGACCCAGGAAGCCCUUCUUUGCAUUGGUCAGGGUUUGCUGCAUUUUCCCAAGCCCAGGAGAUGGAACCCAGUUCUUUUUCUUUCUGUGUAAAAUAAUAAGCAUCACAAUAGGCUGUGCUCAUGAGAACGCAUUUUGUUUCCACAGAAAUGUUUUUUCUCACUCUGUCCUGAUUUUGAUUUCUGUUAAACUCAGUAAACACAUUACCAAAUUUUAAAAUAAGGUGACUUGUUUUCCCCAACUCACAGUUCACCAAAGGUAUUUCAUCUGUUUGUUCUGAAAAUGCAGCUGCUGUCUAGAUUUAUGUGUGCUCUGAUAAGAAAUGUUUUGUGUAACAAUAAAAAUCAUUUCCUUUGAUGAA